AUUCAGAAGUGGAAAACUGUACUUGUGUAAAACUUGAGUAAUUGUGAUUUUUGUGAUGCAAACAUCAGAUUUCCAACCAGCUUUCCCAUUUUUUCCUGUCACCACACAUCACAGCGAGCUAUCGCCUGCUACAUCACAAAUCUGGAUCCUUGUAGACAUGUUUCCUACAGCUUAAACGUGUUAUCAGGUACCAUAAAAUAACACAUUAAUUCAAGUUCCGUCUGAUUCUGCCGAAUCACAAACUCAUUAAAGUGCUUCAAGCGCUCUCUGCCACUGCUGUGAUCCCUGCAUCAUCACAUGUGAAGCUUUCCGUGUGGUAUUUGCAUGGGAAUAAUUUGGGAUUUUCCACACGUGCCACUGAUGUGGUCCCUCUGUAAACACACUGAAAGAACUAAGCAACAACCACUAAUCAUAUCUGGUCGGAGAGACGUUGCCAGCUGCUUCCCUUGUCAGGUGUCGUCAAGGCCAUUUGUACGUCAUCACAUGUAUGCUCACCCCAGAGAACCUCUUUUAAAUCUUCCACAAACAUUUUGCAUGUGGCAGGAUUUUUUAUUAAAGCAUGACAUUUUUUCCCCUCAUUUAAGGAAACCUAAGCUGUUCCUUCAUUCAAUUUUAUUACAAACACAUGAACUGCACAAAACAAAAAAACCCCCAAAAAAAAACUGCUAAAAAAACCAGCCGGUCCAGUUCUGCAGGAUCCAAAUACCUCCACAGGUGUGACCAGUCGUGAUCAUACCAAACAUCAUGCACAUUUAGACAGAAUAACAGACGUCUCCUCUGUAAGCUUUAAGUCAAACAGCUGACUCGAGGUUUACUUCAAAUGAGUCAGUGGUGGAUUCUGGGAAAGGGUUUGGUAAGGAUGACCAUGACUGAUGGGAAAUACAUGUACACACACCCAACACACAUACACACACACAGUCCCAGAUUGUUAUGUAUUUUAUUGCUUUGGCAACAUAGUAGUGACAGCCGUGCCAAUGAUGGAUGUUUGAAUUUAACUGAACAGAGGGGGAGGAGAGGGGGAGAGACACACACACAGAAAGAUUAAACAAAAAGUGAAACACAAACAGAAUUAUAUUCAAAAAAAUAACCAAAGGUACUGAAUACUCAGAGACCUGGUUUUUUUUUUUUUAUAGUUUC
ensembl:lncRNA